CCUACGGGGGGCAGCAGUGGGGAAUUUUCCGCAAUGGGCGAAAGCCUGACGGAGCAAUCUCGCGUGAGGGAUGACGGCCUAUGGGUUGUAAACCUCUUUUUUCAGGGAUACGGUACCUGAAGAAUAAGCAUCGGCUAACUCCGUGCCAGCAGCCGCGGUAAGACGGAGGAUGCAAGUGUUAUCCGGAAUCACUGGGCGUAAAGCGUCUGUAGGUGGUUUAAUAAGUCAACUGUUAAAUCUUGAGGCUCAACCUCAAAAUCGCAGUCGAAACUAUUAGGCUAGAGUAUAGUAGGGGUAAAGGGAAUUUCCAGUGGAGCGGUGAAAUGCGUAGAGAUUGGAAAGAACACCGAUGGCGAAGGCACUUUACUGGCUUUACUAACACUCAGAGACGAAAGCUAGGGUAGCAAAUGGGAUUAGAUACCCUUGUAGUC
rnacentral:rRNA from 1 species